UCCUCUCCUACGAUGUGGGCUGUUCUGUGGGAGAGUGCUGUGUCCAUGGCCUUGGCCCAUUUCACCCGAGCCUUCCAAACUUUGUGGGAGUACCUGUGAUGUCAGGAUUCACAACAGUGGGGGAGGGGACGUGGCUGAAUGUCCCGGGGACAGUUGGAAACUGCAUAUGUGCGCUAGCUUAGAAUUUUACUAAGUUGAAAACCUGUUAUAAAACAAGGUGCGGAAAGUAGAGCUUGAUGGAUCCUUUUGGAGGGUAAG